AAGUUAUUGUUUCUUGAUUUUUGUAUUGUGCCUGUCUAGAUGAGUUUUCAGUUCUGUGCAUUUUCUUAAAAUAUCAUUCUUCAUAGUUUUGGAUAGAGAUUAUGUGUUGGAUAAGAACUUAGAUACAUACAAAGAGUGGACAUCUGGGAAGACUUUGAAAGAAAGGGAAGGGCAAACAAACCAUGGGAAAAUGCUAACUUGCAGCUAGUCUGACAAAUUCAAUGUCCCGAACUUAUAUAUAAUGGACUGCUUUCUGUACGCUGUGGUUAGGCUCAGUAAAAGGAGUUAUAUCACAGUGUGAAGAUAUCUGUAUAUAGUUCUCCAUUAUCUGCGGAUUACAGCUGAUGGUUAAAUUGUGAAUCAGGUCCUUGUGGAUGCAGAUUGCACACAUGAUGUAUCAAUUAUCACAUCCAGAAAUUGGAAAACUGGGGCUGGACAAUCCUUCAGCAAUGUGUAGUUGAUGCGAUGAAAAUGACCAAUAUAAAUUUUCUUCAGGUUCUGGUGCAUAUUUGCUUAAAGACACUCUGUGUAGGUUUCAUUUUGGAACGAUUACAAUGGUGUGUAUUUGUGUUCUUAAUUUAUUGGACUUGAGAUUAGAGGAAACUGUCAAUAUAACCUUCUGCAGAGUUUUAUAGAGCUUGUGCUUCGUCUAGAUUUCCAUAAAGUUAGAAAAACAAUUUUAUUGAUAGGCACCUAAUUAUAUUAUUUGUAAGAGUUUCAAGCAAUAUAACCUAGAGUUAUACUUGUACAUGAUGUCAAGUUUCUAGAUAUAGCACCACUCUUUAGGCAUUGACUGUAGUCUGUAUAGAAGAUUUACAUCUUGGUUCUGUCAACUAUUUGUAUGGCAUCAGUGUUUUAUCAUCAGUAGCAAGUUCAGGACAGUAGAUUCUUUCUUCAGUCUGAUUUGAAACCUAUGAGGCAUGACUUUGGUGUCACUCCUUAUUAGUGAUGUCUAUACUAUCUAUACAUUGUCGCAUGGCAGCACCUGCUCAUUGCUAAUCCUCCUCUUUCUCAAUUUUUUUCCUCAUAUUCUCCUUGCAGUUGCUACCGCAGACAAAUGGUUUUAAAUUGCUUAAAAUUAAAGGUCUCUUGUUUGCAGAACUUGCAGCUUUUACUAUUCCUUGGAUUGAAACUUUUAAAUUUGGAACAAGGCCAAGAAAUCAUAUAUGUCUUUUUAGUGAUGUAGUUUAAGAGCUGCUUCUGAAAAAGGAUGUGGAGCAGUACCUCUUGCAAAAUAAACUGCUG
rnacentral:lncRNA from 1 species